AUGGGGACACUUCAGGGAGCGGCUCUCAGGUCCCGAGAAAGACCUUCCUGGCCACAGGAGACACACGGACAUCGGGAACGGACGGAGGAAGGAUGUGCAGUUGCAGCCUUUUCAGCAGACGCCCUGAGAACGGGAGGUCAAGAGUUGGAGCAGACGGUCAGUUCUGACAGGGCCUCAGACCUAAGGCAGGAGCACCCCCUAUGCCAGACCUCCUGGGUCACAGGAUAUGCACGGACAUUGGGAAGGGAUGGAGGAUGGACGGAGGAAGGACGUGCAGUUGCAGCUCUUUCUGCAGAUGCCCUGAGAGAGGAGCAAGAAGGUCCUCGCCAGAUGCUCCUGGACUUGCUUUGGACUUUCCCUUGCUCUUGGACUUGCUCUGGCACCUGUGCUCUUGGACUUCACAGCCUCUAG
rnacentral:lncRNA from 1 species